CCUACGGGAGGCAGCAUUGAGGAAUAUUGGUCAAUGGGCGCGAGCCUGAACCAGCCAAGUCGCGUGAAGGAUGACUGCCCUACGGGUUGUCAACUUCUUUUAUAAAGGAAUAAAGUGAGGCACGUGUGCCUUUUUGUAAGUACUUUAUGAAUAAGGAUCGGCUAACUCCGUUCCAGCAGCCGCGGUAAUACGGAGGAUCCGAGCGUUAUCCGGAUUUAUUGGGUUUAAAGGGUGCGUAGAUGGGUUGUUAAGUCAGUUGUGAAAGUUUGCGGCUCAACCGUGAAAUUGCAAUUGAUACUGGCAGCCUUGAGGACAGUUGAGGUAGGCGGAAUUCGUGGUGUAGCGGUGAAAUGCUUAGAGAUCACGCAGAACUCCGAUUGCGAAGGCAGCUUACUAAGCUGCUACUGACAUUGAUGCACGAAAGUGUGGGUAUCAAACAGGAUUAGAUACCCUUGUAGUC
rnacentral:rRNA from 1 species